rnacentral:rRNA from 1 species
GAUGAACGCUGGCGGCGUGCUUAACACAUGCAAGUCGAACGAAGAUAUUAAGAAUGAGAGCUUCGGCAGGAAUUUUUUCUAUCUUAGUGGCGGACGGGGGAGUAACGUGUGGGCAACCUGCCCUGCACUGGGGAAUAAUCAUUGGAAACGAUGACUAAUACCGCAUACGGUUCCUGGGAGGCAUCUUUCGGGAAAGAAAGGAUUUAUUCGGUGCAGGAUGGGCCCGCAUCUGAUUAGCUAGUUGGUGAGAUAACAGCCCACCAAGGCGACGAUCAGUAGCCGACCUGAGAGGGUGACCGGCCACAUUGGGACUGAGACACGGCCCAA